GUCUACAUACUGAGUUCCAGCGAGGGGUACAGGGUGAGACUUUGUCUCAAAAACAAAAGAAAACAAACAAGUGAAACCCCCAAUCUUCAGAUCCUCAAAGAACUUGGAGCCUGUCCUUCAGAACUCCCCAACUUCUACUUAGCAGUUUGGGUGAGGCCUAAAUUAGGACCUAAGUAAAGGUCUAAAUAGGGGCCACCUAGGCUACCACUUCACCCUAGCCACAGGGUCCUGGGAUGGGCUGGCUUAGCUCAGCCACACCUGUGAGAGUGACUUCAGCAGGUCACUUGGCUUACAGGAAUGAAAGCAGGGCGGCAGGUCCCCAGGCCUUUGAGCUGGUGACUUCAUCUCUGUGAGAUCCUGAACUCUCAGAUCUUAGAGGCUCCCUCACCUGACCAGACGCAGAAGGCACUCCCUCCCUGGCAGCCCCUCCCCUGAGACUGUAUCCAGGAGAACUUUAAAGAGAAUAGACUUAGGGUUGUGAAUGGGUGGGGCUUGGGGAACGUGGGUGGGUCCAGACCUUCCGGUUCCCCGAAUGGAGCCCCGAAGGGUCAUCGUAAAGCAGGGAACUGGUUCCAAGUACAGCUUGUAAAACAGUGAGUGUGUGUUAGUCAUAUAAAAUAAUGGGUUUCAUUCCGACGUUACCGCGCAUGUGCAGAGUGUCCUUUAUAACCUACUGACCCAGAGAUGAUCUCAGUCCGUGCAGGCAGAACCUACUGCCAUCAUCCUCAUGUGACCUGAUUAUCUUCUCGGAGAAGGUAGGAGGUAGGGGACAAGCAUCUGGCCGUUUUAAAGACACCACGCUGUUUUUUUAUCCCAUUCUUGCCUGGGCCGAAUAGCCUUGAUGGCAUCUUGAAGGUCCUUGAGAGAUUAGAAAUGAAAGUCCCGGAAGCUGCUAAUCCCAAGACUUGGAAGGCAGAGACAGGAGAGCUACUAGUUUGAGAGGAGUCUGAGAUGUGCUUCUCUCUCCUUUUAAACACCACACAGAAGCUGCAUGUGGAAGGUGGAGGCAGGAGGAUCCAGAGUCACAGGCUAGCCUCAGCUACGUGGUGAAUAUGGAUGAAAUUUCACAAAAAGAAGCUGCUUUUUCAAAGUGAACCUUCCGCAAGGCUGACUAAUCCUCGAAGCUACGUGACAGAGAUGGAGCACUGGGAAUGCACAGAGAACCAGUUUCCCUUUGGGAAAUAGUCUCUCGCUUCCUCCUGUCUGAACCUGAAGGCAUCAUCAGUAUGUGGGGCCUAAACCAGAGUUCUCCGUUUUCCUGUGGCCAGCCUCUCCGAUGCUCCCACCCAUGUAUCUGAAAAGCACCUUGAUUUAUUUUGAUGAUUUUUUAUUUAUUUAUCUGUAAACAAACUCUGUGUCCCGUGGCCACAGUCACCCACGUUUGUCUCCAAAAUAAACGUCUCUUCUUUGAGAGGGAGAGAAAGAAAGA
rnacentral:sRNA from 1 species